rnacentral:rRNA from 1 species
UACGAAGGGGGCUAGCGUUGCUCGGAAUCACUGGGCGUAAAGCGCACGUAGGCGGACUCUUAAGUCGGUGGUGAAAUCCUGGAGCUCAACUCCAGAACUGCCUUCGAUACUGAGAGUCUCGAGUCCGGGAGAGGUGAGUGGAACUGCGAGUGUAGAGGUGAAAUUCGUAGAUAUUCGCAAGAACACCAGUGACGAAGGCGGCUCACUGGCCCGGUACUGACGCUGAGGUGCGAAAGCGUGGGGAGCAAACAGG